rnacentral:rRNA from 1 species
UGCAGUAGAACGCUGAAGAGAGGAGCUUGCUCUUCUUGGAUGAGUUGCGAACGGGUGAGUAACGCGUAGGUAACCUGCCUUGUAGCGGGGGAUAACUAUUGGAAACGAUAGCUAAUACCGCAUAACAAUGGAUGACACAUGUCAUUUAUUUGAAAGGGGCAAUUGCUCCACUACAAGAUGGACCUGCGUUGUAUUAGCUAGUAGGUGAGGUAACGGCUCACCUAGGCGACGAUACAUAGCCGACCUGAGAGGGUGAUCGGCCACACUGGGACUGAGACACGGCCCAGACUCCUACGGGAGGCAGCAGUAGGGAAUCUUCGGCAAUGGGGGCAACCCUGACCGAGCAACGCCGCGUGAGUGAAGAAGGUUUUCGGAUCGUAAAGCUCUGUUGUAAGUCAAGAACGAGUGUGAGAGUGGAAAGUUCACACUGUGACGGUAGCUUACCAGAAAGGGACGGCUAACUACGUGCCAGCAGCCGCGGUAAUACGUAGGUCCCGAGCGUUGUCCGGAUUUAUUGGGCGUAAAGCGAGCGCAGGCGGUUUGAUAAGUCUGAAGUUAAAGGCUGUGGCUCAACCAUAGUUCGCUUUGGAAACUGUCAAACUUGAGUGCAGAAGGGGAGAGUGGAAUUCCAUGUGUAGCGGUGAAAUGCGUAGAUAUAUGGAGGAACACCGGUGGCGAAAGCGGCUCUCUGGUCUGUAACUGACGCUGAGGCUCGAAAGCGUGGGGAGCGAACAGGAUUAGAUACCCUGGUAGUCCACGCCGUAAACGAUGAGUGCUAGGUGUUGGAUCCUUUCCGGGAUUCAGUGCCGCAGCUAACGCAUUAAGCACUCCGCCUGGGGAGUACGACCGCAAGGUUGAAACUCAAAGGAAUUGACGGGGGCCCGCACAAGCGGUGGAGCAUGUGGUUUAAUUCGAAGCAACGCGAAGAACCUUACCAGGUCUUGACAUCCCGAUGCUAUUUCUAGAGAUAGAAAGUUACUUCGGUACAUCGGUGACAGGUGGUGCAUGGUUGUCGUCAGCUCGUGUCGUGAGAUGUUGGGUUAAGUCCCGCAACGAGCGCAACCCCUAUUGUUAGUUGCCAUCAUUCAGUUGGGCACUCUAGCGAGACUGCCGGUAAUAAACCGGAGGAAGGUGGGGAUGACGUCAAAUCAUCAUGCCCCUUAUGACCUGGGCUACACACGUGCUACAAUGGUUGGUACAACGAGUUGCGAGUCGGUGACGGCAAGCUAAUCUCUUAAAGCCAAUCUCAGUUCGGAUUGUAGGCUGCAACUCGCCUACAUGAAGUCGGAAUCGCUAGUAAUCGCGGAUCAGCACGCCGCGGUGAAUACGUUCCCGGGCCUUGUACACACCGCCCGUCACACCACGAGAGUUUGUAACACCCGAAGUCGGUGAGGUAACCUUUUGGAGCCAGCCG